rnacentral:rRNA from 1 species
AUUGAACGCUGGCGGCAGGCCUAACACAUGCAAGUCGAGCGUGAGGCGGACGGGUGAGUAAUGUCUGGGAAACUGCCCGCCGGAGGGGGAUAUAUCUUGGAAACGGUUGCUAAUACAGCAUACUAUCAGAUGUCUCCAGAUGGGAUUAGCUCGUAGGUGGGGUAACGGCUCACCUAGGCGACGAUCCCUAGCUGGUCUGAGAGGAUGAUCAGCCACACUGGGACUGAGACACGGUCCAGACUCCUACGGAAGGGAGCAGUGGGGAAUAUUGCACAAUGGGCGCAAGCCUGAUGCAGCCAUGCCGCGUGUGUGAAGAAGGCCUUCGGGUUGUAAAGCACUUUCAGCGGGGAGGCGUUACCCGCAGAAGAAGCACCGGCUAACUUCGUGCCAGCAGCCGCGGUAAUAC